rnacentral:rRNA from 1 species
GAUGAACGCUGGCGGCGUGCUUAACACAUGCAAGUCGAACGGUGAAGCCAAGCUUGCUUGGUGGAUCAGUGGCGAACGGGUGAGUAACACGUGAGCAACCUGCCCUGGACUCUGGGAUAAGCGCUGGAAACGGCGUCUAAUACUGGAUAUGAGCCUCUUCCGCAUGGUGGGGGUUGGAAAGAUUUUUUGGUCUGGGAUGGGCUCGCGGCCUAUCAGCUUGUUGGUGAGGUAAUGGCUCACCAAGGCGUCGACGGGUAGCCGGCCUGAGAGGGUGACCGGCCACACUGGGACUGAGACACGGCCCAGACUCCUACGGGAGGCAGCAGUGGGGAAUAUUGCACAAUGGGCGAAAGCCUGAUGCGGCAACGCCGCGUGAGGGAUGACGGCCUUCGGGUUGUAAACCUCUUUUAGCAGGGAAGAAGCGAAAGUGACGGUACCUGCAGAAAAAGCGCCGGCUAACUACGUG